UACGGAGGGUGCGAGCGUUAAUCGGAAUUACUGGGCGUAAAGCGCGCGUAGGCGGUUUGUUAAGUCAGCUGUGAAAGCCCCGGGCUCAACCUGGGAACUGCAGUUGAUACUGUCCGACUAGAGUACGAGAGAGGGAGGUAGAAUUCCAUGUGUAGCGGUGAAAUGCGUAGAGAUCGGGAGGAACAUCAGUUGCGAAGGCGGCUCUCUGGACCAGCACUGACACUGAGGCACGAAAGCGUGGGGAGCAAACAGG
rnacentral:rRNA from 1 species